AUAUAAUAUGAAAGGAUAUACUAAUGAGCACUGUAAUAUUUCAUUUAUAUGCAACAUGUCCAGUGGAUGUCCAAAAAAAUUAUGUUGGAGAUGAACACACGCACGGUUGUUAUAAAUGCUGCUUGGAUAUUUAAAUCUGAUACUGUACAAUGAGAGGGUUAUGCAAUCAGCACGCCUCUGUUACCUUGAGGUUUUAUUGACACACAUACAAACACACAUUUACACGUGAAUGCACACACACACACACACACACACACACACACACACACACAAACACACACAUAUAUAUAUAUAUAUAUAUAUAUAUAUAUAUAUAUAUAUAUAUAUAUAUAUAUAUAUAUAUAUAUGCGCCGUCCUGCCUAUGGACAUUGUGUGGUCACCCACCCGAGCCUGAAAGUCUAAAACAGUUCAUGUAUUUUACUCUAAAGGCCUCCCCAAACACAUCAGUGCCGGUACUUGCGGGCCUGAACAACAGUUUUGUAUGCAUUUCGUAUCCAGGUUUUAUGUGUUCAGUGGUCUGUUUCUAGUGCUACUUCACUAAUUGUCGUGUGCCUUUUUACUGCAUUUUCUCCAUGUUCCUUCAUUUUCUGAAUUGCAUUUCACUGCAGUUUUGAAGGAUGGUGCCAUAUUUAACAUUUAGUUGAUGGUGGGGGAAAGAUAUGAAAAUUCAAAAUAGUCUGAACAAGGUGUCUGGUGUUAUACUAGAGGAACACUGAAACCAACCAAGAAAACAAGCCCACUUCUUCCAGAUUCAAUGUUAUGAAAUCUUCUGAUGUUCUGUUUUCUGUACUUUGUGUAUCAUCCACUUGGCUUGUAAAAAAAAAAAAAAAAACUACUGCUUGGCUUCAGACUUUUGUGUUUUUUCCAUCUUUGAAACUCACUUUUGUAUCGAUAUUCAGUUACUGGACUUACAUUUUUAGCAUGACUAAAAUGCUUUCCAUUUUGCUGAAAAGAUUUCAAAAGUGCUUUUCAAACUGUUGUUUUGUUUGACACAGUGUUGUAGGACGACAUAUAACGGUGUGUAUGGCACAACCACUGGAACUCUUAGUAAGAACAUAUAAAAGAUUGUCUUCAUUUGAGCACGAAACUUUUUAUUAACAAUAAAGCAGCCUUCCAGUUGCACAGAGUUGUUACUGAUUUUGUUGACCAUGAAUGAGAAGCCACAGACACAUUUAGAGCACACUUCACAUCACAAAAUUAGUCUUUAAUCUGCUACAGUAAUAACUGCCCCCCACCUCCAUAAAACUAUUAACACCUUUUACAUUUUAUUUACUUAAUUUAAUUCUCU
ensembl:lncRNA